rnacentral:rRNA from 1 species
AUUGAACGCUGGCGGCAUGCCUUACACAUGCAAGUCGAACGGCAGCACGGGAGCAAUCCUGGUGGCGAGUGGCGAACGGGUGAGUAAUAUAUCGGAACGUGCCCAGUCGUGGGGAUAACGUAGCGAAAGCUACGCUAAUACCGCAUACGAUCUAUGGAUGAAAGCGGGGGGAUCGCAAGACCUCGCGCGAUUGGAGCGGCCGAUAUCAGAUUAGGUAGUUGGUGAGGUAAAGGCUCACCAAGCCGACGAUCUGUAGCUGGUCUGAGAGGACGACCAGCCACCACUGGGACUGAGACACGGCCCAGACUCCU